UGGGGAAUUUUGGACAAUGGGGGAAACCCUGAUCCAGCCAUCCCGCGUGUGCGAUGAAGGCCUUCGGGUUGUAAAGCACUUUUGGCAGGAAAGAAACGUCGCGGGUUAAUACCCCGCGAAACUGACGGUACCUGCAGAAUAAGCACCGGCUAACUACGUGCCAGCAGCCGCGGUAAUACGUAGGGUGCAAGCGUUAAUCGGAAUUACUGGGCGUAAAGCGUGCGCAGGCGGUUCGGAAAGAAAGAUGUGAAAUCCCAGAGCUUAACUUUGGAACUGCAUUUUUAACUACCGGGCUAGAGUGUGUCAGAGGGAGGUGGAAUUCCGCGUGUAGCAGUGAAAUGCGUAGAUAUGCGGAGGAACACCGAUGGCGAAGGCAGCCUCCUGGGAUAACACUGACGCUCAUGCACGAAAGCGUGGGGGAGCAAACAGGAUUAGAUACCCUGGUAGUCCACGCCCUAAACGAUGUCAACUAGCUGUUGGGGCCUUCGGGCCUUGGUAGCGCAGCUAACGCGUGAAGUUGACCGCCUGGGGAGUACGGUCGCAAGAUUAAAACUCAAAGGAAUUGACGGGGGUCAUAGCUGUUUUU
rnacentral:rRNA from 1 species